rnacentral:lncRNA from 1 species
GAAAGGAUCUAGAUGAAACCCUAAAGUCUUCUGCUCGUUCUCUCUCUAAGUUCACUAGCUACAACAAAUCGAUAGGUGAUUUGUAAAUCGAUAACUUGUUUUGAUUUGUGUUGCCGCAGAUUAAAAUGGUUAAAGUGGCAGUCUUCUUGUUUGCUGUCAGCGUUGGUUGUUUACGGUGGUUUUGGCAAAGCUCCGGCGGUGGUUUAUAUACAUGGUGGUCACCGGAAUUUAACCUUCCUUCUGUUUAAAGAUUUUGAAGAUUACAGAGAUUUUUACGUUUUGGUUCAGAGCUCUGUAGGUUCUGUUGGGAUCCACUCCACUGGAGUUGAUAUGUGGCCAUCUCCAACUCCAAUGGUUCCAAGUCUCAACCAUCUCCAACUCGAAUAGAGAAGAGGAAAGGCAAAUUUUGACUUUUGGAAGUCAAAUGAGUGGGUCUCUUUAAUGAGAAAACUCAUGGAACUUGCUUGAUUUUAACAAAAAGAAAUGACUUUUGCAGUUUAAUUAUUUAUGCAUGUGCAAUUUAACUAUAUUAGAGCUACAUGAGUCAAGAUUUUUGGGUCAAUUUUGAAUUUGGAAAGCAACAAGGUUGAGUUCCAAAUAACUGAAUUUAUUGAAAUUGUCAAAUUUGUGAUGAUUUAUGGAGAGGGUUCCCAGUUUGCUUGAAGUAUGUCUUGGCAUUAGUUUCACAACUGAUAAUGAGCCAUUUAAGAGGGGAAUGGGAAUGGUCACUGAGAAAAUUGUCAACUUAUUGAAGAAUGAAAAUAUGUUUGAAUCACAAGGAGGCUUGCUUUUUCUUUCUUAGAUUGUUUGAGUGAUGGUUGGUGCAAGUUGAGAAUGAGUACGGAUCUAUAGGAAAGGCGUAUGGAGGUGCGGCUACAACUACAUGACUUAGGCUGCAAACAUGGCGGUUAAAUUGGACACCCCAUUCGUAAUGUGCAAGCAAGAUAGUACUCACAACCAAAUGUUCCAUUUUUUGCUCUACACAUUUGCAGAGAAUUUGAAAUCAUCCACGGGAUGAGACGAGACGAGAAAACAGUGGGUUAGCAUACCUUCUUUUCUUGGCGAAUAGAGAGUUUUCGAUUAUCUGUUGAAAAGGUAAAAGCUGGCGUGGAAACUCAAGUUGAUUUCGUUAAGUCACUUGCUUUUGAAGCCUGUGUUGCUUUCUUUACAGACAUACAAGAUUGCGGCCUUUGUGAACUGGCUACACGGAGAACUCUCCUUCUUGGUUGAUGAGAGGGCAGUAUUGAAGCACUUUGAAGCACUUUGACUUGCCAGAAGGGAAAGCAGGUGCACUAAGAAAAGCAAGCUUUGAAUAUCAAGACCUGAACUAUGUAUCCAAACACGUAACUUUGUUGAUGAUUCAAAUCACUCCUAUGAAUAUGCUUUAAAGAAUGUACAAGUUGCUGUAUGUAUCCAAACACUUGAUAUUUAGUUUUAAAUAUCUUUUUUAUGAUCGUUAU